rnacentral:rRNA from 1 species
CUGUCCAGACUAGCCAUGCAUGUCUAAGUAUGAAUGUUAUACAGUGAAACUGCGAAUGGGCUCAUUAAAACAGUUAUAGUUUAUUUGAUAAUCAAACUUACAUGGAUAACCGUGGUAAUUCUAGAGCUAAUACAUGCUGGUUAGCCUGACUUUUAGGAAAGGCUGUAUUUAUUAGAUAACAAACCAAUAUUCCUUGUGUCUAUUGUGAUGACUCAUAAUAACUGAUCGAAUCGCAUGGACUUUGUCCGCGAUACAUCAUUCAAGUUUCUGCCCCAUCAGCUUUCGAUGGUAGUGUAUUGGACUACCAUGGCUUUAACGGGUAACGGAGGAUUAAGGUUCGAUUCCGGAGAGGGAGCCUGAGAAACGGCUACCACAUCUAAGGAAGGCAGCAGGCGCGUAAAUUACCCAAUCCUAAUUCAGGGAGGUAGUGACAAGAAAUAACGGACAGAGGCUUUUGCUUCUGGAUUGCAAUGAGUUGAAUUUAAACCCCUUGACGAGGA